GAUCGAUGCAUACCAAUGAAGGCAGGCAGGCAGCACCAACACAUGCAGAGGGGUCGAUAUUCCCUUAGCGUGGAAACAGAAAUCAAUAAGUUCACUUGAAGUGUAAAAAGCAAGUAUUGGAACCCGAUCAGCCUCCCAGAUGUGCUCUGUGGAAAAGUAGUGACAACAAUCUCUCAUGCUGACAGCUGCUGAAACCCUGAUGGGAGCUUUUUCCUCUCCUGCAAAGUGUCUCUGCUUCAGGAUCAAGUCCACGUGAUGCACAGAUUACCAUGCAUUAUUCUUAAAGUACCCGGAUUAAUGGAUCAAAACUGGAAUAAAGACACUAACGUGGAUUUCUCCUGAGUGUCUGACAACUUUAUGAUUCAGGCUGCAGAACAGCAGAGUCAUCCACACAGAGUGGGUGAGAUCCCCUUUAAGGCGAGGAGGGACCAGCUCUGCAGGACUGGACUUCCGAGAAGGAUUUACCUCUGAUAUCUUUAUAAUUCUGUGGUAUGAUGUCCAGACCUGGACCUGGACUUGUUGUAAAAAGAAGAGGAUGCUGUCUGAUCCAGGACACGCCCUGUCGCUGAAAGUGCUCUCUCCAUCGCGCAGUCUGGUCUGGUCUGGUCUACCUAAUCGCAGGCUGAAUGUGUCCCCGUGUUUAAUCCCUAUAGCUGAAAACUUCAGGUCCACAUAAAGACCAGGCUGUGACCUGGUCCUGUCCUCCCCCUGUGAGAGCCGCUCCGGACCAGCUCCUCCUGUGGAUCUCUGCAAAGACAGAAAGAGAGGCUCUACCUACCGGGCAUGUCUGCUAGAGUGGCUCAUGCGCAGGACACACACCACCACUCCGCAGAGAAGCCCCUGAUCCAGUGCUACAAGUGUGCGCAGCCAUGUAAGGGCGAGGUGCUGCGGGUGCAGAACAAGCACUUCCACCUCAAGUGCUUCACCUGUAAAGUGUGCGGCUGUGACCUCGCCCAGGGGGGCUUCUUCAUGAAGAAUGGAGAGUAUCUGUGCACGCUGGACUACCAACGCAUGCACGGCACCCGCUGCAAUGGCUGCGGGGACUUUGUGGAGGGUGAAGUGGUCACGGCUCUCGGGAAGACCUACCACCCUGCCUGCUUUGUCUGCACCAUCUGCAAACGACCGUUCCCUGCCGGGGACAGGGUGACCUUUAAUGGGAAGGACUGUCUGUGUCAGUACUGUGUCGAGCCCAUGUCUCCAGGGCCAAAGGACAUCCUGGGCUCCAGCAACUGUGCAGGAUGCGGCAGAGACAUCAAGAACGGACAGGCUCUGCUGGCGUUGGACAAACAGUGGCAUCUCGGAUGCUUCAAGUGCAAGGCCUGCAGCAAAGUGCUAACCGGGGAGUACAUCAGCAAGGAUGGCGCCCCCUACUGUGAGAAGGACUACCAGAUCCAUUUUGGAGUUCAGUGUGAGGCGUGUCAUCAGUUCAUCACAGGGAAGGUGCUAGAGGCAGGAGAUAAGCACUACCACCCCAGCUGUGCGAGAUGCAGCCGGUGCAAUCAGAUGUUCACGGAAGGAGAGGAGAUGUAUCUGCAAGGAUCGACGGUCUGGCAUCCCGGCUGCAAAAACACGACCCGGACGGAGGAGCGGCACAGGGAGCGGCCUACGAGGUCGUCGUCCGAGAGUAUUUGUUCCAGACCUGGUUCAAGCAUACCUGGCUCACCGGGUCACACCAUCUAUGCAAAAGUAGACAAUGAGAUCCUUGAUUACAGAGACCUAGCUGCCAUUCCCAAAGUCAAAGCCAUUUAUGACAUUGAGCGCCCCGAUCUUAUUACCUAUGAACCUUUGUACUCCACCUCCCUGGAUGAGAGAGACGAGAGACAAGAGAGUGUGGGAGAGCUCCACACUGCCAGGAGGGAGCGUUCCCCCUUACCUGACGACAAGUCCUCAAGAAACAUGUCGCCGACUCCGCCGGGUGAGGGCUCUUACGACAGGAGGGAACGCAUCCUCCAGAGGUCCACCAGUCAGGGCUCCAUAGGCUCACCUGUGUAUAAUCGACAUGGUUACACCCCCACCUUGUCACGGUCACCUCAGCAUUUCCACCGGCCAGAGGCUCUGACAGGCAUGCAGAAGCUCUGCUCCUCCCUGUGCAGUAACAGUGUGGGCUCCAGAAAUAGUGACUCCCGCCCCACCUCCCCUUUCAGACACCACUUCCUCCCCCAUAGCCAAGGCACCGACCCGCCGAGUGGCCGGAGCUCCCCUCUCCCGCUCAGGCCCGACAGCCGGCCGGUCACCCCGCCUCUCUCUCAGACCCCUAAACAUUUCCACCUCCCAGAUCAGGGGAGCAACAUCUACAGAAAACCUCCCAUCUACAAACUGCACGGUCCAGAAGGGAGGAGGCGGUCCAGAGAAGACGAGGAGGAAGAGGCCUUGAAAAGAAAGCAGCUCCAGGAGGAACAUCUCAGUAAGAUUCAGUCCGGUCUGGGGAAGCUCAUCCUGAAGGAGGAGAUGGAGAAAGACCAGAUCAGGGAGCGUCACGCACGAAGCCUCUCCGCUCAGCGAUACGACCCCAAACAGACCAACUGUGACGCAGAUCCAACUUCUCCAACCAAAACGAACUCUCUGCCCGGAUACGGGAGGAACGGGCUGCAUCGGCCCCAGUCGACAGAUUUCACUCAGUACAACAGCUACGGGGACAUGUGUGGAGGAGGCCGAGCACAUUAAGGAUGGCCGUGCAGCACUUGCAAGGAUGGACAGGGGAGUAUCUAUGCCUAAUAUGUUGGAACCAAAAGUGUACCCCUAUGAAAUGCUCAUGAUAACCAGUAGAGGGAGAGCUAAACUGCCCAGGGAUGUGGACAGAACCAGACUGGAGCGCCACUUAGCACCCGAAACGUUCUUUGACAUCUUUGGAAUGGAGAUCCAGGAGUUUGACAGGCUUCCCCUGUGGAAACGCAACGACAUGAAAAAGAAGGCCAAGCUCUUCUAGCGCUCAGAGCAGCAUGCACAUACUGUACAUUCAUCAGAUAGCACACAACAACUGUACUCUAGAUGUAGGUUUUUUGGUUGAUUUCCUUUUCUUCUGGACUUUUCUUUGUAUCCUGGAGUAAUGAAGGAAGCUUGGACUGGACUCUUUUUGCUUCCUGAGACUGUGAGCUGGAGGAUUUUUACAGAUAGACUGCACAGAAACACGAACGGGGAACUCUUCCAUGUUCAAAAAUGACAAAGAAUGAGAGUGAAUGAAACGAGGCUCAUGUUCUUGGUUUGCUUGUUUUUCUUCUUGCUUUGCUUUCUUUGGGUGGAACUGCUUUCCUUUCUUUCUUGCUUGUUUCUUCCUACUCUUUGUUGCUGAUGAUUCCUGUGGAACUUUGUAAGUACAUUAGAAACCUCAUGGCGCCAUUAUGAAAUGUCCAUGCUCGUAGCUUGAACAUGUGUCGGCUUUCCUUCGCUUGGGCUGAAGCUGUUUUAGUCCAAAGUUUGCAACAAUCGGCUCAGUGAGUCUUUGAAUUGAUUAAAAAAAAAACUAAGCCGGUGGGGAAGCAGUCAGCUGACCCAUCAACCGUUUCAUGGAUCAACAUGGAAAUGAAUCAUCCAGGCACCCAUACAUCAUCAGUCUCCUCCCCCCCGCUGACUGUACACGCCAAACAUCCAUCCGACCCCGACUUAAAGAAAACGUCUCUCUUCUCAGGCUCCCAUAAACACGGCCACUCUUUCCCUUUAUGUAUUGGAAUUACAAAUCUUAAUAUAUUUUAUCCGACGUACAGUAACCGACCGGUAGAUCAAACACUUCAGAAGUAUUUGAAAGUACUGUUUUAUAAAUGAAACCCACACUGCCAUUUGUUGUAUUGAAAUCUAAGCCAAUAAAGCUUUAAAUCACCAUGAA